rnacentral:miRNA from 1 species
UAGUACGACAAUGCCAACUCAG